GCAUACCUUAUAUCCAGGACCGACACCUUCGAAACCAAGUUUUACAUGGUAAUAAUAACUCCACAGGCAAAGUAGCACCCCGCACCCUAUGACCCUAGUGACCAGGUUUUCAUUCCCAUUUACACAACCCCACGAAGACAUUAAAAAAAGGAUGGGGUUUAAUGAGUCAGCCCACUCAAACGAUACAUGUGUCAGGCCCCUCUUAAACCAGUGGAUUUUUAAUUUAAAAUUUUAACGGAUUCAUGAUCUAGGUCAAGAUGAUCGUGAACAUAAAAAAUAAAAUCAAUUUUUGAUAUUUAAAAUGUGAUUUUUUUUAAAAAAAUUCUGCCCUGCAUAAGCCUAAUGAAUCACCACGCUCUUGCACCCGCUGACUCAUGAGAGACUUCCCAUUAAAAAAGGACCUAACUCCUAAAAUUAUUUUAAAAAGGGUGCAGUUAGCAUACGGAUGGAUGCAUCCGUAGCCGUAGAGGUAAGACGCACCUUCAAAUUUUAUUAUAAUUUUGUUGUAAAGUGUUCUGAUUAUCUUAAAUUUUAUUUUUAUAUUUAAUUAUAAAAUUUUAAAUUUCAAAAAUAGUUAAAAUCAAGUAGAAUAUAAAAAUCUUAAAAAAAAAAGGUGUAAAUAAUAUGUUGUAAAAUACACUAUUUUUUAAACUUAAUUUUUUUUUAUUUUUCAUGAUCAUACAUCUCGAGUCAAUCAAAGGUUUUUCAACAUUAAAUCUACGUUUUUAGAUGGAUUUUUUAGGUGCAUCAGUAGUUCUACAUAUAAAAGUUGCAAUCUAAUAUAAACUUUUUCCUCCAAAAAAAAAAAAAAAGCGGCCUUCUUCCCCAGCGACUUAUAAUAAAAAAAAAAAAUCACUCCGCGGCUUCAGCUUAAAUGCAUGGUAACUUAAAAGUAAAUUCAACUCCAUGAAGGAGGCACAACAACAAAUACAAUAAAUGACAGAGUCCCCAAAAAUAGAGAAGAUAAACAAGAAAAUUUCUGGAUGGGGCAGGGUACGGAACCCACCAGCCCACAAAACCGCUUGCCCUUACUGCUCCAAUACAUCUCAAUAUUUACAACAAAACAUAGCAAAACACCCCUAAAUUUUUCUUCAAUUUUUUUUUUGGGGUGUGGGAGAUUAAGUAAAAAAAAACCCUAAUUAAAAGACCAAACUCAAAAGACCCCUAAAUUGUUCUCAUAUAUAUAUGAGAACAAUGAAUGGAUUUUUCCUACAUAUGAAGAACAACAGAUGGAAGGAACAUAAAUUACAGAACGAUGGUGGUUUCAGGGAAUUGAAAAGCCCCUUCGCCACCGUGAAAGACAUCAAGGGAAGACACCGAGGAGAGGGGGCCGAACCGGGAAAAAGCUGUAACCGCCGGACGAGCUUUCCGCCAUGUCCCUCUGAAACAAUUGCUUUGCCUCUUCUAAAAUUAGGAAGAAGCAUCGAAUCAGGGCGCUCCCCAGCCUCAAAUAUAUCUCCAGCCUCUGCAUAUUUCCUUCCUCUCACAAAAAAUGAAUAAGAGGGAGAAAAGUAUGGAAAAUUAGAGAGAGUGUGUGGUUGGGAAGGAUGAGGAAUGAAAUCUAGAGAGAGAAAGUGGGGUUGGAAGAAUGCUUGGUUUGUGGAGAAGGCGGGGAUUUAUAAUGAGGGCAGCAAACCUUUGGAGAGGUGCCGAGGUCACUGUUCCUUGUUCAGAGCUCUAACCCUCGUUGAAGAUGACGUUAUUGUGGGGUCUGGAUUCCUCUUCAAUUAUAUUUAAGUUUUGCUUUAAAUAAGGAAAAAUGGAUUAAAAAAGGGUAGGUGUGGGUGGAGUGAAAAAAGUGUGAAAAAUUUGGAGUCGGUUGGCCGCACGUCACUUGGUCUUUU
rnacentral:lncRNA from 1 species